AGCGAACGCUGGCGGCAGGCCUAACACAUGCAAGUCGAACGAACUCUUCGGAGUUAGUGGCGGAUGGGUGAGUAACCCGUGGGAACGUGCCUUUUGGUUUGGAAUAACUCAGGGAAACUUGUGCUAAUACCGAAUGUGCCCUUCGGGGGAAAGAUUUAUCGCCAUUAGAGCGGCCCGCGUCUGAUUAGCUAGUUGGUGAGGUAAUGGCUCACCAAGGCGACGAUCAGUAGCUGGUCUGUGAGGAUGACCAGCCACACUGGGACUGAGACACGGCCCAGACUCCUACGGGAGGCAGCAGUGGGGGAUCUAGCGAAAUGGGCGAAAGCCUGACGCAGCCAUGCCGCGUGAAUGAUGAAGGUCUUAGGAUUGUAAAAUUCUUUCACCGGGGACGAUAAUGACGGUACCCGAAGAAGAAGCCCCGGCUAACUUCGUG
rnacentral:rRNA from 1 species